GCUCCAUUGGUGGAAUUGGAAUACACCUCCGACUUAAGAUCGGAGGCCGAAAGGAUUGAGCGUUCGACUCGCUCAUGGAGCA
rnacentral:tRNA from 1 species